rnacentral:rRNA from 1 species
GUAGUUAGCCGAGACUUAUUCCUGUGCUACCGUCCUUCCUCUUCACACAGAAAAGCGGUUUACAACCCGAAGGCCGUCAUCCCGCACGCGGCGUUGCUGCGUCAGACUUUCGUCCAUUGCGCAAUAUCCCUUA